GAUGAACGCUGGCGGCGUGCUUAACACAUGCAAGUCGAGCGAGAAGUUUUGAAAAGAUUCUUCGGAUGAAAUUUAAAAUGGAAAGCGGCGGACGGGUGAGUAACGCGUAGGCAACCUGCCCCAUACAAAGGGAUAGCAUUUGGAAACGAAUAUUAAUACCUUAUGAAGCUUAACUAGUGCAUGCUAGGUAGGUCAAAGAUUUAUCGGUAUGGGAUGGGCCUGCGUCUGAUUAGCUAGUUGGUGAGGUAACGGCUCACCAAGGCGACGAUCAGUAGCCGACCUGAGAGGGUGAACGGCCACAUUGGAACUGAGACACGGUCCAAACUCCUACGGGAGGCAGCAGUGGGGAAUAUUGCACAAUGGGGGAAACCCUGAUGCAGCAACGCCGCGUGAACGAUGAAGGCCUUUGGGUCGUAAAGUUCUGUUCUAGGUGAUGAAAACUGACAGUAACCUAGGAGAAAGCCCCGGCUAACUCCGUG
rnacentral:rRNA from 1 species